GGCAGCUACACCGCGGCCUCCCAGGAAUGGAAGCAGCUAAGGCGGUCUCCAUGGAAACAGAAAAGAAGAGAGGCAAAUCGCUGUCUUCCACUCAGGGACCCGCCCUCAAGAUAAAUUAGCCAGUGAUUCGAAGGGGCUAGCAACAAGAAGGUAUCAUUGAUGGGGACGAGGGAAACCCGGGUCUGUCACUGUCCAAUCGCUUUUGAGGUUGGGCCCGCGGCUCUUUCCAGUAUUAACCAAUAGUGAGGGACGAUGAAAUAACCUCCGCCCGCCACUGGAGGAUGUCAGGAAGGAGGAAUGAAUUUUGAGUGGACGCUUCCGAUUAGUGGGUUUGGAACGCUGGGGCUGAAAGCCCACUUGUGAUUCGCUGCCUCUAGGACGAGGCCCCAGUGGGGAGGGGCUACAGCGGAGUUGGAGAUUGUGUGGAAAAGAGGCGGCCUCGGGGUCGGCUCUUGGGGAGAGGGCUGGCCAGAAUGCCCAGCACUAUACUUGGAGUGGGUGCAGAAGUAUUCAUCUUAGCGCUGCUCUGGGUGUUGAUAUUGCUGCUGUGUGUGCUGUUAUCCCGAGCCUCCAGUCUAGCUAGGUUCUCUGUCAUUUUUGUUUUCUUUGCUGCUUCUGAUCAUCACAUUAGUUCUAUUAUUUUUUCCCUGGGCCACUGAGGUUCCAAUCCCAGAGGUAGAAAUGAAGAUCCUUGACAAGUUCUUCAUUGGUCAUUAUGUUCUACUGGUUUUCUCAAUGUUUUUUUCCUUGAAGUCUCUUUCUGGUUCUAAUUCACUUCAGUCUUGGUAAGGACCAUUUAAAGAAAUACCAAAAACUACUAAUUGAACAGAGCUGCUGUAUGAAUUCUAUGAAUAUUGAAACUCAUUGAAGGAGCUAUGGAAUUAUUUUGGUGAGUAUAUAUUCUCCUUGAGAAAUGGUGUUAUCUUCAUAAUCACUUAAUUAUUUUGGAGUAGGACUUAAAUUAAGCAGGAUAAAAUGGAAUGAAUUAUGGGAAGAAAAUAUUUCCCAACAGCUGGCAGAGGUCAAAAACAGAUACUUUAUGAUUAUUGGUGAUAUUACAUUGCUUGAAAAUGGCACUUAGAUCUUUUUUUUAAAAAAUUUAAUAGCCUUUUAUUUACAGGUUAUAUGUAUGGGUAACUACAGCAUUGACAAUUGCCAAACCUCUUGUUCCAAUUUUUCUCCUCCUUCC
rnacentral:lncRNA from 1 species